UUAUCACCUAGGUAAUGGAAUGAUUACUAUAGCAACAGAGCCUUUAUCUUCCAGUGCCCACAACAUUUUGACAGAUGGGAAAGACUGAAGAUUUAAAACAGGACUUAAAAGUAUUAUAACUUGGUGGCCAUAUCAUGACAGCAGCCUCUUUCUGAUGAGUGAAAGAAAGAAUUACAGUCGACAGCAUGACCACCAGAUCCAGUGUAAAAAUGGUCCCAACUCAGGGUUUGAGGACAGAAGUAAAAGUAGGCAAAGGAAAGCAUGUUGUUCCAGAAUUUGUUAGAAAACUUGAAAUAAAAGAAAAAGCCUAAAAUAUUCUGGAGAAAGAAAAAUAAGUUACAAAGGAAGAGUUACGGUCCACAUCACCUGUAUAAUACUUGGUAGCUGGGCAACCUCGGUGAUUCGCGUGGGCUGGCAUUGUGUUUAUCAAUUUAUACUUGAGAAAAUCAGAAGCACAAGUCCACAUAUACAUGAACAUACUGAUGUCUAUCUAUGCCUCAGUGGGCCUUCUCUUAAAGGUCACAUUUACACAGCUGUAAGUUCAUGAGAGAAUCCAGAGAGGAGUUCUCAUUCUGCUCGUUCCAAUAUAGGAAAGACGUCCUUUGUUGAAAUCUGCCUGGACACUGCUUACGGGGAAGAAGAGUGAUGAUAGUGAGUUGUCAGCUGGUUUCUGUUGGACUACAGCAAGAAACAUGUGUGGGAAUAUACAUUUGCAUUGCCUAUGUGCGUGCUUUAUGCAUAGUUAUCAUUCUGUAAAAGAAGAAAAGUUAUGGAAAUUAGCAUUUCCUAUUGAUAUAAGAUGUGGGCCAUGGCAAUGACUUCUCUCAGAUCCUUGUGCAGAGAAGCAUGAAAUCUUCAGGAUGGAUGCUUGAAAGGAAUAAUAGUGACUAAUCUCUCUAUCAGUAUUCAAGGAAUCUGCGGAAAUUCACACUGAACAGAAUUGUCAAUGACUACAACCAAGAAAGCAUGCUACAAGAUGUGGAACCUGGAUCUAUCAAUUUUUUAAAGAUUAUUUCUCAAUAAAUUUGUUUUCAUUCA